rnacentral:rRNA from 1 species
CAGCGCCGCGGGAAUACAGAGGGUGCAAGCGUUAAUCGGAAUUACUGGGCGUAAAGCGCGCGUAGGUGGUUUGUUAAGUUGGAUGUGAAAGCCCCGGGCUCAACCUGGGAACUGCAUCCAAAACUGGCAAGCUAGAGUACGGUAGAGGGUGGUGGAAUUUCCUGUGUAGCGGUGAAAUGCGUAGAUAUAGGAAGGAACACCAGUGGCGAAGGCGACCACCUGGACUGAUACUGACACUGAGGUGCGAAAGCGUGGGGAGCAAACAGGAUUAGAUACCCCAGUAGUCCCUGUCUCUUAUACC